rnacentral:misc_RNA from 1 species
ACCGAUACCCAUGACUAUGACGUGAAGAUGCGCAAUGUCAUGCGCUUCCUCGAAGGCGGCGACAAGGUGAAGAUCACCCUGAGAUUCCGCGGCCGCGAAAUGGCGCACCAAAACCUCGGGCGCGAGCUUCUCGAACGGGUGGCCGAGGACGUGAAAGAGAUGGGCAAGGUCGAAAACAUGCCCAAGAUGGAAGGCCGCCAGAUGACCAUGAUGAUCGGCCCCAUGACCAAGUAGACCGACCGCGACAGGCGGUCGCCCGACACUCAAUUGGCCGCCUGUGAUCGGGCGGCCGAUUUUGUUCAUGACAGGAUCGGAACCGCCCAUGUGGGA